AUAGGUAAGAAAAAAUGUAUGCAAUAUUUCACAAAGGAAUUAUUUUCUGAUUUCUAAUACAUGGUAUGCUUAUGUUCCUAGGUCUCCAUAGGAGAGAAACUCCAUUUUUAUCAAGAUACAAUGAAUACAGUAACAAAAGCACUGAAGAUAAUAGUGACAUUAACAACAACAAUGAUAAUGACGAUGACGACGAAGACGACGACGAUGAAGAUGACGAUGAUGACGAAAACAACGAUGAUGAUGAUGAUGACAAUGAUGAUGAUGAUGAUACUGAGGAAUAUAUAGCUCCAUUUGAAUUGUCAACUGAAGAAACUUCAGCUUCCUUUUCUACUGAAGUGAGUUCUACAUUAAAUGACAGUAUGCAGACCUUGCUAAAGUACUUCCUAAAAUAUAUAAACAACAAAACAAUGUUACCACCAAACCUGAACUAGCAGACCUGUCUUAUUUUCAACCAGCAGAAGGUAUAUCAGACACUUCCUUUUCUAACAGUCCAGCUAGUAGCACAGUCUGGAAGCCUGAAUAUAGAGAAAUAAAAAAAGAAACUUUCAGAACA
rnacentral:lncRNA from 1 species